rnacentral:lncRNA from 13 species
CCUUCCAUAAUUGUCAAGUUCCAUGGAAUUGAGGAAGUUAUUUUAAUUCCAAGUAACAAGAAUAAGUUUGCAUCCUGAGAUCCAAUGCUGCUACUUAAAACCAAAAUACACCAACAUUUUAUGGCCCAGAAAUACAGAAGAUUCUUCUUGCCAAUUGCUUCUGUGUUUAUUUACUUCAAGUCCCAGAAGAACAACCCAGAUCAGUUUUGCCACUGACGUUAUAAAUAGCAUAGCAAAUUCAUAAGGAGUCUUUUCUUCAAAGAACGGAAAUGACUCUGAAGUCUGACUAAACUCACAGUGUCCUUGUGAGGGAGAUGGGAAGAGGCAGAGUAUUUUGCCCCAUUUCAAGUUCAAGAAAGCAAAGAACACAAAAGUUAAGUGGCUGGUGUUCAUUUAUUCAAGUAAAUUUAUUCAGGAGUCGAGCCAGAAACAAAGAUCAAAUCUCCUGGCCCAUGUACUAGGCCCCAUGCUGCCUCACAGCUUUCAAAACCUUCAUUUUCCUGGAAAAAGCUGAAAAGCUUUCCCCUACCAUACAUACUAGAUUCAGACACACUGCCAUCUACUGACCCACCGGAGGAUGUACCAGCUGAGACAUCCUGAGCUUCAAGGGAAAGAGGAACACCUUGAGAGGGGUUGAGAUCCUGCUUUCCCUGCAGAAUGCCCUCUCCAGGAUGCUCAUGGGCCGUGUCUACAGUACUAUGUAGGAACGUGCUGCAAGAGUUCUGUCACCCCUCUGAAGACCUGGUUCUUAGCUGCAGCUGCAACUCUAUCCCUGGACUCAUCUUUGAAACUACCCAGAGACAGACAGUCAAUAGCUUUAGAACUUUACAACAAGAUCUUCCAAGUGCCCUGAGACUUCGUGAUGGAGCCAACAGAAAUAAAUCAUACAGGACAAAGCCAGACCCUGGUGUGAGGGAUGCUUAUAAAACAGCAUAA